rnacentral:ncRNA from 1 species
UAAAGCAUUGGGUCUUGUAAGCCAAAGAAUGAAGAAUAAACCCUUCCUAAAGCUCAGGAUAGAGAGAAUUUAACUCCCACAGCUAACCCCCAAAGCUAAUAUUCUAUUUAAAUUAUAUCCUGUUCGAGUAGCUUAAAAUAGAGCGCAGCACUGAAAAUGCUGAGAUGGGCCCUAAAAAGCCCCUUAAACACAAAGGUUUGGUCCUAACCUUGAAGUCAAUUAUUACUUAAUAUACACAUGCAAGCAUCCACCCCCCGGUGAAAACGCCCUUUAACCCCUCUUAGGGGCCAGGAGCCGGUAUCAGGCACAAUAAUUUGCCCAAAACACCUAGCUUUGCCACACCCAUAAGGGAAUUCAGCAGUGAUUAACAUUGAGCAUAAGCGUAAGCUUGACUCAGUUAAAGUAAAUAGAGCCGGCCAAUCUGGUGCCAGCCGCCGCGGUUACACCACGUGACUCAAAUUGACCCCACUCCGGCGUAAAGCGUGAUUAAAGUUUUCUUCAACUAGAGACAAACCCUAACUGAGCUGUGACACGCCUGUCUACUAAGAAGUCCAAAAACGAAAGUUACUCUAAUAUAACCAACUUGAAUUCACGACAGCUGGGAAACAAACUGGGAUUAGAUACCCCACUAUGCCCAGCCAUAAACCUUUAGUUACACCACCAUAAUCGCCAGGGAACUACGAGCUAAGCUUAAAACCCAAAGGACUUGACGGUACCCCAUAUCCCCCUAGAGGAGCCUGUCCUAUAACCGAUAAUCCACGUUGAACCUCACCAUUUUCUAGUUAUCAGCCUGUAUACCUCCGUCGCCAGCUUACCACGUGAGCGUUAAUUAGUGAGCCUAAUGUUACCCCACCAACACGUCAGGUCAAGGUGCAGCAAAUGAAAUGGGAAGAGAUGGGCUACACUUUCUACAUUAGAAAAAACGAAAAACUUUAUGAAACCUAGUUAGAAGGCGGAUUUAGCAGUAAGAUGGAAUCAGAAUGUCCAUUUUAACCAGGCACUGGGGUGUGUACACACCGCCCGUCACCCUCUUCAAAGUCACUAACAAAGUCCUUAACAAACCCGGACACAAUAGAAGAGGCAAGUCGUAACAUGGUAAGUAUACCGGAAGGUGUGCUUGGAAA